CGUUUAGUGCCGUGGACGAGUGAGAACGUGUUAACAUGAAGGUCUCUAACAUUUAUAAUAUUAUGUACGUGGUUAGUGCGUUCCUGGUCGCGUUUUGUUCGGCGCAUCCAGUCAACAAUCAAUUAGAAGUCACCGGUCAUACAAGAGUCAAGCGACAAAUGGCUUUACACCCUGGACCUAAUAUUUGCCCGAUUAAUUCAUACUUCUGCCACGGAAAGUGUCUUUCUUUCGCAGAAGUCGAAUUUUUUUUAGAUAUGGAAUGCAAACAAAUAUCGCAAAAAGGGACAUCGUGUACAUGCGUGUAGGUGCUUUGGCUUUGACAGGUGAUUUAAUAAAUUAACAUUAAGUUUUGACAGUGUAAUAUUCGUCCUAACAUACUAAAUAAUAUCAAUUGAAAGUAUCUUCAGAGAUAUAACAUAUUUUAUGACAUUAUCUCUUGCAUCGGAAAAUAUAUAUAUGCAAGCAUCCAUAUCGAUAUGAAAAAAAAAUAUAUUGUUCAUUUUGUAGAUAAUUUAAUAAUUUACAAUUUUGGUCUGUAUGAAAUUUUUGUCAAAACUGUAAAAAGUCCAAAACCUUGGCCUUUGGCUUCGAAUAUCUUCGGAAGCUCGCUCUGUAUUCAUGAGGACUUUUUUUAUUUUAUGUAUAAUGCUGAGCCCAAGGUCUCCACCAAUAUUCAACUCAGUGCGAAUUUUAGUUAUUUUUGUCUUUAUUUGUAGGGAUAGUAAUUAUGUAACAAUUUUUUUUUUAAGUGGACUCUACUACAGACAACUUAAAUGUAUGAUAUACUUAGUUAAUAAAAGUAUUUUAGUACCGUUGCAUUUUAUGUAUGUUUUUUAUAUAUUAAUAUGAGAUAAUGUAAUUAAUAUCCGAAAUAAAAUAUGUACCUUU